GCGUUUUAGAACGUGGCUGUUUUCUUGUUGCUGCAGUUUGGCUGUAGGAGUUGGAACGUGCCAUCCACGUCCUCCAGGUGCUCAGAUUCAAUGGAGAGUGUAUUCAGCAUUAUCCGAAGGAGUAAAUGUACCACAUAUUUUAGUAGCAUAUCCUUAUAAAUAUGGCUGUUGAAUUGCACGAUAUGAUCCACUCUUGCUCGCAAAACUGCGACUGCUUUUAGAUAUUGUGAAUAGUAAUGAAUUUAGUUAUGGAUUAAAAGCUGGAAAGCAUGCUGGGAGGCUAUUCUGCUUUAACCAGGGAUCUUCAGCAAAAGAAACACAGGAAUGAAAAGGCAUGAGAGGGCUUACUGAGCAUCAAAGAGGCCAGGGCCUCCCCACGAGGCUGAAUUGCCCUAUUUUGGGUGUAGCUUGGGAUGCGACAGGCUGGCAUCGAGAUACUCCCCUUAUCCUCCUUCCCUUCUGAUUCUCCAGCAUAUCAGUGAAGGACAGGAUACUGAACUUAUCUCUAUCCCGGGACUGACAGAUGUGCAUCAGUAGGCAAAUGUUACGGGUUCGGUACCUAUAAAUUACUUCUAAUAGGCGUUCGUCUCCUGAGCGUGACUCAAUGAAGAGAGUUCACCUGGAGGGCAGGCGAGGAAGGUCGGUGGAGGAAGUGGGAAGCUGCCGAGUGAACUGUCGUGAUACUGAAAGGCUACUAGAUGGCAGCAGAAACCAUGAAAUAGAUGACCAUUACUUGAGAUGGGUGCGUGUGUGUUAAUUGCUUCCUGAAGGAAUUAUGGAUGUGUGCUAUCUGUGGAAGCCUUAGAAGCGCUUAUGGCGUAAUUAUCCAUAGUGCUUCCAGUGUCACUAAGAAAGAAUACCUGCUUAACGUAACAAUUCUUCGCUGUUAAUUUCUCUGAUUCGUUUCUCAGGAGUUGCAUUGCAAAACAGACGUUGCAGUGAGCAACGGUAACUUGUAACGAGGGCUGUUGGAAUGACUGCAGGGUGUUUUUAAUUCUUCCCACAGCAUUGGAAAAUACUGCUUCUUAGACGUUCAUAACGUCUUGGUCUAAAUUAUACUCAUUACCACAGAGGUGAACUUUAACUUUUUUUUUUCUUUGGCCUUUAUUUGUGAACCAAAAAAAAAUUAUUUUGCAUGUGAAAGUUUGUUUGUAUGUUUUUGUGAAAGUUAUUGCCUGGAGGACCGAAGACCACGUUCAUUGGGAAAUUGGAGGGCUGAUAACCAUAAAUCUGGGAAGAUCGGCAGCGCAGCGCGGUAAAAGCAAAGAGACUCCAUUACCGCGUUGUAUGCGCAUGCGUGGUACUGCCCGGAGGACCGGAGACCAUAGACACUGGCGGAGCAGACAGGCUAGGGGAGGAAGCGCAUGCGUGGUACUGCCCGGAGGACCGGAGACCAUAGACACUGGCGGAGCAGACAGGCUAGGGGAGGAAGCGCAUGCGCGGUAGCGAUUGGCGGGCCGGCUGCGCGGUCUACGGAGCGCGGCGGGAAGGGCAGAUGAGCAGCCAAACUGGUCCGCGGAAGCAGGACGUCACCCGCGCUCCCCGGCAACGCCCCCGUUGCUAAUGAAGUGAGGUCACGCAAUAUGGCGGCUCCCUAGCAACGCCACAGGCAGCGCGCCCCGCCCCCGUUGCUAAGGAAGUGAGGUCACGCAGUAUGGCCGCUCGGGGCCGGAGUUGCUGAGGGGUCGGCGUUGUGGGGAAUCCGCGUCCAUCCUUCUCAGGAGUUACGAGGGCGGUGUUGCCCGCCUCGCCAGCACCGAGCGGUGGGACUGAGGCCGCGAUGGCACCGGGAACGGCGGGGCUGUGAGACAGAAGAGUGCGGGCCUGCAGGGUGGGCAGGGCGACAGAACCGGGUCGCGGCCGAAACGAACCGGCGCCAUGGAACUGAGGGUUGGGAACAGGUACCGGCUGGGCCGGAAGAUCGGGAGCGGCUCCUUCGGCGACAUUUACCUGGGGACUGAUAUUGCUGCCGGAGAGGAGGUUGCAAUUAAGCUGGAAUGUGUGAAAACCAAACACCCUCAACUCCACAUUGAGAGUAAAAUCUACAAAAUGAUGCAGGGUGGAGUGGGUAUCCCCACCAUUAAGUGGUGUGGUGCUGAGGGGGAUUACAACGUCAUGGUGAUGGAGCUGCUGGGACCGAGUCUUGAAGACCUCUUCAACUUUUGUUCAAGGAAGUUUAGUCUCAAGACAGUGUUGUUACUUGCUGACCAAAUGAUCAGUCGAAUUGAAUAUAUUCACUCUAAGAAUUUCAUUCACCGAGACGUGAAGCCGGACAACUUCCUAAUGGGGCUGGGGAAGAAAGGCAAUCUUGUCUACAUCAUAGACUUUGGAUUAGCAAAGAAGUAUCGGGAUGCCAGAACUCACCAACACAUCCCAUACCGUGAGAACAAAAACCUAACAGGAACUGCCCGUUAUGCAUCCAUCAACACUCAUCUUGGAAUUGAGCAAUCUCGCAGAGAUGACUUGGAGUCCUUGGGCUAUGUACUGAUGUAUUUUAACCUGGGCUCCCUCCCCUGGCAGGGACUGAAAGCAGCAACAAAGAGACAGAAAUACGAACGUAUCAGUGAAAAGAAAAUGUCUACACCCAUUGAGGUUUUGUGUAAAGGAUAUCCUUCUGAAUUUGCCACAUACCUGAACUUCUGCCGUUCUCUCCGUUUUGAUGACAAACCUGACUACUCUUACCUAAGGCAGUUAUUCAGAAACCUCUUCCACCGACAAGGCUUCUCCUAUGACUAUGUGUUUGACUGGAACAUGCUGAAAUUUGGUGCAAGCAGAGGGGCUGAAGAUGCUGAACGUGAAAGGAGAGAGCGAGAGGAGAGGCUGAGGCACACACGGAACCCAGCUGUGCGUGGAUUGCCCUCCACUGCUUCUGGCAGGCUGAGGGGAACACAAGAUGUAGCUCCUUCUACUCCUCUUACCCCAACUUCACAUGCUGCCAACACAUCUCCUCGACCAGUGUCUGGUAUGGAACGAGAAAGAAAAGUGAGUAUGAGGUUGCACCGUGGUGCCCCUGUCAAUGUGUCAUCGUCUGACUUAACGGGCCGACAGGACACCUCUCGCAUGUCCACUUCACAGGUAACAAAUAAUUCUUGUGUCAUGGAAAAGAUGGGUGUGAUUUGAUGCAGUUAAUUUGCCAGGUGAACAUACCAAGUAAUUCUUGUGAUCUCGUACUGAUUUUUCAGACCAUGUUGAGUUGAAUAAAUACUUGAAAUUUGGUCUGAAUGUUUGUGAUGUUGGUGUAGACUGCUGUAAUUUCUUAUUGUUUUUAUAGUCCUGUGCAAAAAGCAUAAAAUCCUCAAAGUACAAAAGGAGUCAUUGAUGUAUGCAUUGUGCAAAAACCUAGAAGAAAAUUUACCCUAAAUUACAGGUCCUGCAGUUGGUGAGAGUUGUGUUUCCAAUUGAAUAGAGCAGAGAUUAUUGGUGCAGAGUAGACAAUGAAUGAUAGGUUAAGAAACAGAAAAGAGUAGAAAUCAAGAAAUGCUGUAGUGCAGUUACUUCAGUUCUGAGCAGAUAAGAAGCCACAUCCAUGAGUGAUAGAGAGGUCGCAGUAGGCUCAGUUGAAGCAGAUGGCAGGAGCAUGAGUGAUGCAGUGAUUCAUAGCUGUAGUCUGCACUGAAAUUAUCCUCAUUGAUUUUGAGAUGUUAGUUUUAAGACUGGCAAAUAUUUUAAAUAUGUUUUAGGUGUCUCAUUCUGUUCCUGGUUUUUUUUUUAAGGUAUUUACAUAGACUAAGUAGUGAGUAGCCUGGCUUUGUAUCACUUAUCUUCAGCCUCACCUGCACAGCACUGGUGCACUGCAACAGAGCUGAAUGUUAGGAGGACUGGUGCAGUUCCCUACAGAUUUUCAAUUAAUUCCUCAGCACUGUGCUGGAGAUCUAACUACAUGAUCUUUGCUGUGAACUGAUGCUAUUCCUUGUUGUCAGAGCUGUUAAUACAAAUAAAUUCAGUUCCUUUUCACUUUUUUAAUUGGCAGAUUUCACAAUUUAAUUGGCAGAAUUAAGUAUUUUGGAUAAUACAUGUUCUUAUACAUAAAUCCUCAGCACUCUAGAGAGCUUUCUUUUAGAUAAAGAUGAGGUGGGUGUGAAGACUGAAGGGGCAAGGUGUUGGUUUUUGUGCAUGGAUUUGACAUUGUGGCCUGCAGCAUAAAUGGAAAAAGUUCAGACAGCAGAAGGAUUAUGGAAUCUAGUAAAAUAUAAAUGUGUAGCUGGCUUCAUUCUCUUUCUGAGGAUAAAAUAAAAGCCUGUGAGAUGGAAUGAGGUUGCAAAAAGAAUGCAAAGAUGAUGAAUACUCAUAUUGAAGAAGUUUUUCUUUUUUAAUCGAUUUCAAAGUGCUUUUAGGAAAGAAGGAAACUUCCUUCCCUCAGCUGUAUAAUGGGGAUAGAAACAGGCCAAAAACCAAAUGAGAAAUUGGAAACUGUAAAACUAUUUCAGUGCUUUUAGGCAUAUCCACAUCAAAGGGCUCCAAGUACAGAUGGUGCCAUGUAUCCCUUAGCAGUGGGCCUGCCUUGAACUUCAAGAUGUCAGUAAUUUGGAUUGGAGUAAUGCUACUUUGGAUUUCUAUAAGUUUCAGAUCCUUGGGUGGUAAUGCAGAUGAUGUUAAGACAACAGAAUCACAGAAGGGCUGGAAGGGACCUCUGGAGAUCAUCUCAUCUGGAUGACUUGGUUGUUUUAAUUAUAUGUGCAGUAAUGUGAUUCCUCAUUCAAGCAGGUAGAGGCGGAAUUGGAUUGGAAAACCAAUUGUGCUGUAACAAAAGUGGAGUGAGGUUUUUUGGGGUAAUUUUCAACUGAAUGAAGAGUUGAACAGUGUAGUUGCACUAACUUGCACAAGGAGUAAACAAUGCAGGAGCAGAAAUGGCUGGAUGAAAAUAGUUCACAGGUAAGGCUUUGUGUUAUCUCUGGUGGCAGGUCUUGCCAGUAUAAGUUACUCACUGAAGUACAAUUCCUGCCACCAAAAGUAGUAUUUCAAGGCAGAGGUGUUUUUAAAAGAAGUACCAAACUAGGAGGGCAGAACAGUGCAUACUUAGGUGCUGGUUAUCUAUGCUAUAGAGCAUGGCAAAAUACAGAUCUGGAGGUUUGGAAGCACCAUUGCAGUUCUGAGUUCCUCAGUACAGGAGAGGAGCACUGUGGAGGAGCAAGGUCAGAGCAGGGCCAAAAAGAUGAGUAAGGUGUCAUCUGAAAUAGGAGCAGAGGCUGAGAGCACUGGAUUCAAUUAGUCUACAGAAGGAAAGGCUCAGGGUAGAUAAACAUCAGAUAUGCAUCAAAACCUCAUAAGUCCACGUGGAGAGGGCACAGCCUGAAUCUCCUUGGUGUUCUCUAGUGAACAGGUGAGAGGCAGUGGGGACAGAGUAAAAUGAAAUGUCACUUACACAUAAAAAAAAGACCUUCACUAUGGCAGUGAUCAAGCACUGGAACAGGUUCACCUAAGAGAUUGUGGAGUGUCUUCAGGAAUAUUCAAAGCCCCAUUGCUCCAUGUCCUGAGCUGGCUGCUCCAGCUGACUGUGCUUUGGGCUGUGUAAUUGGAUGGGAUGAUCCCUAGAGGUCCCUUCUGACCUUGGCUGUUCUGUGAGCUCAUGAUCCUGGAUAUUUGCUCAACUGUAAGGAUAGUUUCCUGUUGAAGUAUGAAUGUCCCUGGCCGUCUAAGCAAAUUUCAGGUACUUUGUUGCCAGUCAGGCAAGGGUGUAAUACGUAAGUGUAAUUAUGUUACUUGGCUGUGGUAGGCAAUUAAACUUGAUUGAAUGUAUCUUAGAGGGGUUUUUUCCUGUAGUAGCUCAGCACACACAUUGCAUUUUUUGUGUGUUACAAGGUUUGAAACACACAGAUGGGCUUGCAGAUGAGUUUUGAUUGUCUAAUUUGUAAAAUAAGCAUACUCUUGAGAUUGUGUAGGAAUAUGGAUGGCGUUUUUUUUGAGUGAUCUUAAAUUGCCAGCUAUAUAAUUUGUGGUGAGAUUGCAUAUCUCUGUACCCACCCUUGAGCACUCUGCUUCAAGCAUGGAAUCACUCCAAGUAUGGAAUUUGACUUCCUUACAAUAGCAGCCAGUCUGGUUCUUCUCUGGGUUUGUUAUAUUAAUCAUUCAUCACCUGUCAUUUUCCCUUAGUUCUUACCAAGGCAGUGAGCAGCUGCUGACCAUUAGUGGUGGCUGAAUAACAGUGUGCAACCAGAAUAUAACCUGAACAACUUCCCAUGGGCCUGUCAGAUUGAGAAGGCAAGAGAGGUUGACUUCAAUUUUACUUUGCAGCUAUAGCAAGUAUCCAGCUUGCAAGGCAAAGCUACUAAGGACAAUUUUGAGCAGAUAUGUUAGUUUCCUUUGGGAACCUUGAGAAAAUAAGCUACCAGUGUUCCUUUCUCAGGAAGUUCUUAGACCACACUCCAGGUAGAAAGCAACUUUUAAACUUUGUUGUCAGGGUUUACAGAUGCCUUGGGUUAAAAUCUAAAUGUUCUGUUACUUAUAAGGGGAUUGAUUCCUUUUGUUACCUUACUUGGGUGCUUUGGAGGCAGCACUGCGUCUAUAAUCUCCGCUCCCAGAGAAAGGGCUGCUGCUGUUGAGCUCUGGGUGAUGGAAACACGCAGGUGUCACUGAGUGAGGUGGUGGUGGUAAAGAUGACUUCAUGUUUUUAUCUAUCCUGCUCUUUUUGUUUGUUUGUUUUCUCAAAUAGUUUUAAAUCAGUUUGGGCUGAAACUGAAAACAAAGGUUAAGAAUGUAGAUGGUGCAAACCAAACUUCCAUUGCAAAAAAAAUAGAUCUGAUAGAGAAAUUUGACACUCAUGGAAAGCCAGUGGCUGGUAAGAAUAGCAAAAUGCACCACAGCCAUAUUUCCACCUCCCAGGCACUGUACCUCAGUCAUCCCCAUUAAAGCUAUUAGUGCUUUGUAGCAGUGAGAGGAGUUUAUUCGAAUACCAACUAGCACGUCUCCAAAAAGGGGUUGUGAAACUUAGUGUUACCUGUGAAAUAAGUUCUGCAGCACUAUUUGUACUUUUACUGGUGGUAGAGAGUGAAUGCAGUAGUUAAGAAACUGCAGGUUUUCAAGGUGGUUUGAUGAUGAUAAAUGGUGGUGAGAGCUGGGCAGUCACAUAAAGCCUAAUGAAAUAAAAGGUGUAAGGCAGGACUCCAAAAUCUGGUCAUAAUUAGGAAGUGGAGCCUAUUGUCUCAUACAUGGAAACUGCAUCUGUGAUAGGUAGUGAUGGAGGAGGCUGCAGUGCUGUGUUGUGAAGGUCUGUGAUGUCAUAAUGGAAGGGUGUAAUUUCAUCCUUGAAUAUGUAUAUGAUGCAGUACUAGGAAUAGGAAUAGGAAAUAGGAAAAGGAAUAGGGAAGGUUUUUCAUCUCAUGGAUGAGAUGGGUGCUGGAAUGUUGUCCAGCUCAUUUUUCAGUAUCUUGAACUGCUGAGAAACUAGAAGUAACAGAAGAGCUGUGAAAAUUGUGCUUGGGAGAACAUGGUGUAUGGUGAGGUUUCAUCUUGGUCUUUUUAGUUUGUCUGAAAGAUGAGAGAUCACCUUGAUUUAGUUGAAGCAGAAUUUUGGCAACAACAGUUAUUGUUCUAACUGAAGUUUAUGCAGAAAAUAUACAUGAAGCUCCUGUUGUCCGGAGUUAAAAUAGAUUUGGGGAGGAGUGCUGCAGAGAUCUAAUCAAAGACAGCCACUGAGACAGCCUCUGAAAGGCUGAUCAUCAGAGGAUCAUCUGUUCCCUUUGUAUUUGUGAGAAAGAACUGGAUUCCUUUCCAGGUGGCAUGUUCAGAGCCAAAGCAAACCUAAAUUGCUCAUCUCAGUGCAGUGUUGUGAUAGGAGCGGCAGAGGGUCACACCAGCUGCUUGAAGGUUCUUAUACUAUUAAACGGUGUGAAUGAGUCUCUAAGUCUCUAUGAAUGAGUCACUAAGUCUCCUAUGUGUAGGCAGUUGUGAAACAUAAAAGAAAAACUUAGUGAAGAAGGCAUGAGGAUUCCUAUGAGCACUGCUUUGAAUCAGUUCUGUCAGUCCAGACUGCACAGACUGCGUCACAAAAGUGUGAGUAUGCAGUGAUCAUCUCAGGAGUGUAGGUGCAGGUGAGUAACCUUCAUUUCCAUUCACAAGAGGUUUGGGCCUGUGAAAGCCUGCUUCAGUUGGACUGCUCACGGUGCACAGUAAGUUCCUCAAUAUUACUUUGGGUUUUUUUUCUCCUGAGUUUGGCACGUUCAGCACCUGACAGUCAAGGCUGUUAUAAUUCCUGUUGGUAACAGAGAUAUCUCUCCUUAUCUGGAAGAAGAGAUUGGAGUGCUGCACAAAGAAAUAUUUGAACAGGUCUCUUUGAAAACAGAGGUUUUUAGAAAACCAGAGCCAACACUGGCAUCAAGAAACUGAAGUGCUGUGCCACUUCACUGGGCAGAGGCAGCAUACUCGCAGUGCCUUUGCAAUUUCCAUCUCCUUAUGAGCAAAUCUUUCUCCAUACACGUAUCUUAGUAGGCAUCGUACUCUGUUUUCUUCUGAUCAUACCUGCUUUCUCUGAAGACUAAUGAUUUGUUCCUUGUACCUAUCUCUUAAUAUGGUAGAAAUGUCUGAUAGCAAUCUGAAAUCAGAGCUCUUCAAAAGAUACGUUUGCAACUGCCAAUUUAGGUUGGAUAUUUGUAGACAUCUUUAUAAUGGGGGCAUUGGAACCGUUACAAAUUGCUGUCUUUUCCCCUACCUCAGAAUAGCAUUCCUUUCGAACACCAUGGCAAGUAGCUGCUCGUCUCCUUUCGUUGGAAGGCAGCACAGGGUGAGUCCUUCUCCUUAGACACCAAAGCUUUGGCUGGGGUGGGGAAAAGCAUUUGGAAACAUCAGUCUUUGCUUCUUCUCGCAUCUCAUAGCUGAGCUGUGCCUUCCAGUCAGAUGCUUGAUGCAGCCAUGUUUUUCUCUAAAGGUAAAAAUAAAUGUCCUUCCAAAAGUUGAAUGACUGCUGCUGUUCCAUUUGGGUUUUUGAGCGGAAUUGACAAAAAUAGUGGCUUGAAGAGUCCAUAAAAUCACUCAAGCAUCAGCACUAAAGUAACCAGCUCUAAAAAGGAGAUGGUUUAGAAUCAUGGGUCUUUCCAGGAACGUUUUGCAGCAGUGUGCCAUCUACUCAAAAACAGAUCAGCUUCAGAACUGUAAAAGCAAAACGCUUGUGUGAAGAGUCAGUUAACUAUAUUACUCAAAGAUUGUCUUGUCAUUAAUGGAAUGUUCUGCUACAGAAGUCUCAAUGUUUUACGUUCUUCUCCAUUCCUUAAGAGCUGUUGUUUUUAAAAAUGUUCAGAUACUAAUGAGAAUCAUUUGAAACUUGAGCAUCUCAGGGGCAGGCAGACUUGGAUUUGGGUACUUAGAACUCUGUUCAGCACAGUAGAAGUUUCUGCCUCGCUGUGUGCAACUUCCAGCUUUGUGAUCCAUUCUGCUUUUGGCAAUAACAGAUUUCAUCGCAGCAAUAACAAGUUUCAGUUAGAAUCUGAACUUUGAUAGCAGAAAGCUUUCCUAAGUAUUUCAAGACCUUCUUCUUUGCUUUGCUUCUUGUUUAAAAAAAAAAAAGCCGUGAGAUUUUUCUGUUCCUUAGUAAAUUCUGUUGUCUAACUCCAUCUGCUGCCUCACUUCCUUUCUAAGGCCAAAGCUUGCACUAAUCUCUAUCUCUAGUUGCCGAAGAAUCCUGCUGUUCUCUUCUGUUUUUUCCUCCUGCUUUGUGUGCUUGGCUGACUGUGCACAGGCUGCUUCUUAAGCUGUUUGAACGUGAAAAGAUCCGACUGUAAAUUGCAGCUUAACACUCUGAGUUCCAGUUAUCAGAGCUUGUUUGAAAAAUAAGAAUUUGUUCCCAAAUAAAAAAAGCAAACAUUCAGCUUUGUGUUGAAAAGACCUGUGUGGAAGGAGUCCAGAUUCUGUUCUGCUUAGGGCUGUGUCUGCAUUGUUUGGCCUUCACCGUGUGUGUUACGAUCUGCAGCUGCUUACAACUUAAAAUAAUGCUGAUUAAUGGUUCAGCUAUUUAGAUAUGUCUUGCUGCUUAAAUUGCAGUGAUGUGUGGUUGCUUUUUCACUUUCACAGCACAAAUGUUAUUGAAAUAAUAUUGCACUGUUACUGAAACAGGUCAAGUUGAAGUAAUCCGUGCAGUGAGUUAACACAGUGCUCAACAACAAAUGAAAAGCUACUGAGAAUAUAUAUAUAUAUAUGCUUUUUUUUUUUUUUUUUUUAACCUUUUGGGAUUUUUUUCCAAGGUUUAUUAUUCAUUUAGUCUAUUUCUGCACACUGGUAGAGAUUUCAUCUGGUUGGGUCUUUCUUCUGUGCAUGCUUGUGUUCUGUUUACUUAUCUUCAAAACAUCUCCUGGCUGGAAAGGUAACUUUUCCAUGUUGAUUUCUAAUAAAGGAGGAAAAUACAGGGGACUUCGUGUAGCUGAAGGUGGGUGCAAAACACCAUGUAGUCACUGAUUAUUAAUUCACAUUCUCACUUUUCACACCAAAUGAUUUGAAAAUACGUCGAGAGCCACUCUUGCAUUAACUGGAAGGAUUUGUGCUGAUGUUGUCUUGUUUUUGGCUUUGGUAGAUUCCUGCUCGGGUAACUACCGGUGUUCUCCAGUCCACUGUGCACCGAUGAACAUUUAUUUUGCCAUGGAGGGCAGAUAAUGCAUGGCUGAUCUCCUAUGUUAUCAAUGGCUUUACUAGCAAAAAUACCCUGAACUAGAGUGGAAACAAUACGACUGGAGUUCUCCAUGUGACUUAAAAGGCACUUGGAGGAACAUGGACAGACUCCAGCAGCUGCCAUUACAGGACACUUGCCAGAAACCCAGUGACCUUAAGAGAACCCUGUGGAAACAGGGCUGGAGAAGAAAGAUGGUUUACAGAGUUGACCGUCUGUUACUGGAUGGCCAUUUCAGUUUUCCCUCCACAGGCGGCAGACUUUACCCCCUUUUUAUUAUUCCACUGUAACUAUAAAUCUUUUACUUGGUUUAAGGAAGUUUUUGUAUCAUUUUGCUAAAAUUAUUGGCUUAAUUCUCUGUAAAGAACUCUUGCUUUUCUCUGAUUUAAAAAUGUAGAAUACAAGCAAUCCUAAACUAAAGACAAUGACUUGAAAUUUGUUUAAAAAAAAAAAAUCAGUUUGGCAGGGAGCAUGUAAA